UACGGAGGGUGCAAGCGUUAUCCGGAUUCACUGGGUUUAAAGGGUGCGUAGGUGGGCAGGUAAGUCAGUGGUGAAAUCUCCGGGCUUAACUCGGAACUGCCGUUGAUACUAUCUGUCUUGAAUAUCGUGGAGGUUAGCGGAAUAUGUCAUGUAGCGGUGAAAUGCUUAGAUAUGACAUAGAACACCAAUUGCGAAGGCAGCUGGCUACACGAAUAUUGACACUGAUGCACGAAAGCGUGGGGAUCAAACAGG
rnacentral:rRNA from 1 species